CGUCUACAUAUUCAAUACCCAACCGGUUAUAUGUUUAUUAUUUUAAAUGAAUAUUUAUAUCAAUAAAUAAGUACCUCAAUAGAGAAUAAUCACAUAAUUAGAUAAAAUAAUUAUAAUACGAUAACUUGAUAACUAAGUAACUAAUUCUCUAUCUUCUAGAUAUCUAACAUUAUCGAGAGAUAUAUCCUAACAUCCAUAAUGAUGUAUAUCUUUAUGAAUCGAGAUAUCUAUAUCCUAACAAUCAAUAAAUCGGCUCAUGCUAAAAUAAGAAACAAAUCUUUUUUAUUUUUAAAAGUCUAAUGAAAAAAUAAGGUAAAAAAUAUGGAUCGACAAAAAUACUUCUUGUACAGAUAUCGCCAAUGCAUUAGACUAGGCUAAAAAAUUCAAAGUAAAAAAAUUGGAUAAAUAUAUGUUGCAUUUGUAUUAUAGUUUUCUAGCAUAAUAGCUUAAUAAUAAUCCCAAUAACAUAAAAUAGCACGGUAGCUUAACAAUAAUCCCAAUAAUGUUUUUUAAUUAAGUAUAGAAGUGCACUAUGAUCCCUAGAGCAUAUAAUUUUUGUUCUCAUUUUUGUUAAAUGAGUAAUAUUAAAAGGUCUUGUCCUCUCAUACAAUAUCUUGAAGAAGAAGCUUCAAUCAGGGUAGGGCAACAAUUGCGACAUUAUUGGUCUGUAUUUAGAGAGAAAGAAACCUUGGCAAAAUUUGGUAUUAUUGUUUUUAUAGAAAGAAAUAAACCCUACGGCUCAAGUGGAGGAGCUGAUUUUACAGAUUAUAGAGAAAGAAAGAAACUCUAACUAUGCAUGCAUUGUUGGCAGAGAUUUGGGUACUCAUUUUUAAGGCUCGAGCAAGAUUUGGAAAGGCAAGAAGAGAUGGUGGAACUAAUUUUAGAGAGAGAAAGAAACCCUAACCAUGCUCUGUUUGUAGAUAUUUGGGUACUCCUUUUUUGAGAUCGGGCAAGAUUUGGAAAGGCAAGAAGAGAAGGUGGAGCUGAUUUUAGAGAGAGAAAAGGAAGAGUGAUGCAAGACCCAGAUCCGUCAAGUGGAACAAGGGGCCCAUCCACUUCCUCUGAUCAAAGGGAAAAGAUCUCGAUGAGGCAGGAAAGUAUGCAUGGGGUGCAACAACACUUGUAUUCUUGUAUCGUUCCUUAUCUAAGGUUGUGGACAGGAAUACACAUUUUAGUUGGUCAACAACACUACUACAGUGUUGGAUCUAUGAGCAUUUUCCAGCUCUAGCCAGCAAGCCUACAACUAUCACUAUAGAAAUGCCUAGAGCUUCCGAAUGGAAUAAACAACCAUGCAAGAAAGACCCAUUAACAGCAUUUGAUGACAUCUCAAUUGACAUGGUGACUUGGCAACCAUAUGAGGAGUACAAUCCACGAGAUACAUUAAGUAAAGAAAAUGCAUUGUGCCGAUCAUAUUUGAUAUGUUUCAACAUUGUAGAGUUUUAUAUGUCUGAUCGUGUAUUGCGACAAUUUGGGAUGAUGCAAGCGAUUCCUGUUGGGCCACCCAAGUGGGAUAGGAGGGAAAAUGUCGGCGUACAUCCCACAAGUUGGAUUGAAGCGACUGAUGUCAACGAGAAAGCAACAUUGUCAGGGCAGACGUGGAUAAAUAUGGUGGAAUGCUUACAAAUGAAUAUAUGAGCUGGUACAACAUGUUCACCCAUAGAUAUAAAAAUACUCCAAUGUACCCCCCCUCGCAAUCGCAAUCAAGUUAUAUAAAUACUCCCAAGUGCCCCCCCUCGCAGCCGCAAUCCCAAUUACCCCCCCUCGCAAGGCAUCAGUCAGAGAGGACAUUGAUAUAUUAUUGAUUAACCUGCAUAGGGAUUUUACAAGCUGCACUUAGGGGUGAAGUAUUAGUAGGUGAAUCAAGACAAUACGUACAAGCGGCACAUGAUUUGCUAUUACAAAAUACUCUUAUAGAGACAAAUGCCGAGGAGAGGGUGGAGGGAGAUAGUGGAAACGAGCGUGAAGAGAGAAAUGAUAGAGAUGAUGAAAGCGAUAGCGAUGAGAGAGAGAGUGGAGACGAUGAACUUGUUAGCGAGGAGAGAGAUGAUGAUAGAGAUGAGGAAAACGAGUCUGAGGAGGAAGAUGAGAAAAACAAGACUAAGGAGGGAGAUGAAAGUGACACUGACGAGGGAGAUGAAACGAGAACAAAAAGCAGCUAUGACAAAAGCAGAAGCCUGCAAAUUCAAAUUCUGCCAACCUUACAAGAGGAAUCAAGAAGGCAUACAAGAUCACAAGGAGAUGGAGAUGUCCAGGCAAAUGUAAAAAGAACGGGUAUUACAAGCUGGCCAAAAAAAUGGUUGAGGCGAAAAAAGUGAUUCAGUUGUAUCUUUCAAUUAAUAUAUAUUUUUGUAUUUUGAAGUAGCCAGCUAAUGAAAUGUAUCAUUGUAAUAGUUUUUGUACUUUGAAGCUACUAUAUCAAGUAGCCAGCUAAUGAAAUGUCCCCUUACAUAUAUAUAUAUAUCCCUGUUAGCUAAA